rnacentral:rRNA from 1 species
UAGGGAAUCUUCGGCAAUGGGGGCAACCCUGACCGAGCAACGCCGCGUGAGUGAAGAAGGUUUUCGGAUCGUAAAGCUCUGUUGUAAGAGAAGAACGUGUGUGAGAGUGGAAAGUUCACACAGUGACGGUAACUUACCAGAAAGGGACGGCUAACUACGUGCCAGCAGCCGCGGUAAUACGUAGGUCCCGAGCGUUGUCCGGAUUUAUUGGGCGUAAAGCGAGCGCAGGCGGUUUAAUAAGUCUGAAGUUAAAGGCAGUGGCUUAACCAUUGUUCGCUUUGGAAACUGUUAAACUUGAGUGCAGAAGGGGAGAGUGGAAUUCCAUGUGUAGCGGUGAAAUGCGUAGAUAUAUGGAGGAACACCGGUGGCGAAAGCGGCUCUCUGGUCUGUAACUGACGCUGAGGCUCGAAAGCGUGGGGAACAAACAGG